rnacentral:lncRNA from 1 species
ACACCUGCGUGUAGUGGCCGCACAUCUGGCCUGGGCUGCAGGUGGCGGCGCUGAGGUUGUAGUGCUCACGCUCGUGGUGCCACUCCUCCAUGGCCAGCGGCACGUCCAUGCCCUCGUCUGUGAUGGCGAACAGAUUCUCGCCGCGGCGCCCGCGCUCCUUGUUGUGGCCCCACACGCACUGCCGUGCGUAGGCCUUGGCGAAGGCGGCCAGCUCCUCGUCCCAUCUCUGCAGG